AAGUCGUAACAAGGUUUCCGUAGGUGAACCUGCGGAAGGAUCAUCAACAAAUCAAACUGUUGGCUUGCCAACAAAUACCAAUGUGAAUUGGGAAGGGUUUUACUCUUCUCUGGGCCAUUUUUGGCCAAGUAAACUUAAACCAGAGUCGGAUAAAUUAUAUAAAUAUAAACAACUUUUAACAAUGGAUCUCUUGGUUCUU
rnacentral:misc_RNA from 1 species